rnacentral:rRNA from 1 species
CACGCCGUAAACGGUGGGCACUAGGUGUGGGUUCCAUUCCACGGAAUCCGUGCCGUAGCUAACGCAUUAAGUGCCCCGCCUGGGGAGUACGGCCGCAAGGCUAAAACUCAAAGGAAUUGACGGGGGCCCGCACAAGCGGCGGAGCAUGCGGAUUAAUUCGAUGCAACGCGAAGAACCUUACCUGGGUUUGACAUAUACCGGAAACAUCUGGAGACAGGUGCCCCGCAAGGUCGGUAUACAGGUGG